rnacentral:other from 1 species
UUUCCGAUUUUUCGGCUCGCAGAAGAGCACUGAAAU